GCUGGAGUGUAGUAGUGCUAUCACAGCUGACUGCAGCCUCAACCUUCCAGGCUGAAGCGAUCCUCCCAUCUCAACCUCCCACGUGGCUGAGACUAUAGGUGCUUGCCACUAUGCCCAACUAAUAUUUGGAAUUUUCCUAUACAUGGAUUCCAGAGGGGUGACAGCAAAACGUGGGACCAUCCAGUUGCAGGAAAACAAGCUUAACACGCC
rnacentral:lncRNA from 10 species